CCUAGAGUUGUAGGCUUUGCCUGCUAUCUCUUACCCAUGUCUUUUGAGUACCUUACGUUUCCUCGGCGGGUUCGCCCACCGAUUGGACAACUUAAACCAUUUGCAGUUGCAAUCAGCGUCUGAAAAAACUUAAUAGUUA
rnacentral:misc_RNA from 1 species